GUGGGGAAUCUUGCGCAAUGGGCGAAAGCCUGACGCAGCCAUGCCGCGUGAAUGAUGAAGGUCUUAGGAUUGUAAAAUUCUUUCACCGGGGACGAUAAUGACGGUACCCGGAGAAGAAGCUCCGGCUAACUUCGUGCCAGCAGCCGCGGUAAUACGAAGGGGGCUAGCGUUGCCCGGAAUUACUGGGCGUAAAGGGCGCGUAGGCGGACAGCUUAGUCAGAGGUGAAAGCCCAGGGCUCAACCUUGGAAUGGCCUUUGAUACUGGCUGUCUUGAGUUUGGGAGAGGUGAGUGGAACUCCGAGUGUAGAGGUGAAAUUCGUAGAUAUUCGGAAGAACACCAGUGGCGAAGGCGACUCACUGGCCCAAUACUGACGCUGAGGCGCGAAAGCGUGGGGAGCAAACAGGAUUAGAUACCCGGGUAGUCC
rnacentral:rRNA from 1 species